UAUCUGUUCUUCAUGUUCUUCCCAAAUCCAAAUCCAACAACCAAAUCCAGUCUCCAUAAAAUCCAAGUUUCAUCAUUUGCACUGUAUGUGUGUGCAGUUUUUGUGUUUAAUGUGUGGUGUGCGUGAUUGUUGCAGUCGGUUGACUGAGGGUGAGGUUGGUUGGGUAUGGCAGAGCUGGUUAUGUGCUGCGGGGGAUAUUUUUGGUGAGUGGGAAGAAAAAGAGGGGAAAAAAUGAAGUCUAAGUUCAUAUGGCAUGAAAAGGAAAUCUGGAGGUCUUGGCUUCAAUGAUGUAGACUGGGUUUUGGAGCUUUUGGUUAUAGGUUUGCUGGGAUGCUGCUAGUCAAGAAUCCUUCAGAUCUAUUACGAGGUCCUAUUACAGAGGGGCUGCUGGUGCAUUGCUUGUCUAUGAUAUAACCGGUUUGCUUGGACCUGCUACAACUUCUAUCAGUCAACACCAACAAAAUUGGCCGGGGAGAAUUAUUUCUUUCAUUCUGGGCAGGUUAAACACAACUUAACCAAUCUAAAGUUGUGUUUGAGAUUGUUUUUGUUGUUGUUGUUUACCAUUUAGUUCUUAUGGUAUUUGAAUGCAGUGGCGAGACUCUUAACAAAUGUGUGUUGGUGUGUUAUAUGUUAAUAGAAUGGUGUGUUAUAUACCCUGUUGUCCUGAAUUGAAAAAAUCUUUAUAUUA